rnacentral:tRNA from 1 species
GGGGGUAUAGCUCAGUGGCAGAGCGUAUGCUUUAGCAUGCACGAGUCCUGGGUUCAAUUCCCAGUAUCUCCA